AUGGACGCGGUGGAGUCCUCCUCGCCCUACUUGCCGCCCUCGCUGCGCCACAAGCUGCGGACCACGGUAUGCGGCUGCUUCGGCUCGCCGUCCUCACCAGGCAGUGGCGGGGAGAGGCCGCACACCGGCGGCAGCAGGGCCAGAUGGAGGAGGCGCGUGGCGGCCGCGGGGGAGUUCCGGUAUAACCCGCUCAGCUACGCGCUCAACUUCGACGACGGCAGCAGCGACGACGGCGAUGCCGACGCGGAGGACGCCGCCUUCCGGCGCAGAAACUUCAGCUCGCGCCUGCCGCCAUCGCCGGUGCCAGCCUCCCGAGCCCUUGCCAUUGCCUGA
rnacentral:rRNA from 1 species